rnacentral:tRNA from 1 species
GAGAGGUCCAGAAGACCUGCUAA